rnacentral:rRNA from 1 species
UACGUAGGGGGCUAGCGUUAUCCGGAACUACUGGGCGUAAAGGGUGCGUAGGUGGUUUCUUAAGUCAGAGGUGAAAGGCUACGGCUCAACCGUAGUAAGCCUUUGAAACUGGGAAACUUGAGUGCAGGAGAGGAGAGUGGAAUUCCUAGUGUAGCGGUGAAAUGCGUAGAUAUUAGGAGGAACACCAGUUGCGAAGGCGGCUCUCUGGACUGUAACUGACACUGAGGCACGAAAGCGUGGGGAGCAAACAGGAUUAGAUACCCUGGUAGUCCCUGAG